GCCUCUGUAGAUCAUGGGGAUCGCCUCGUUACGAUGUAAAGAAUCCCCGCGCUGUAGCGAGGAGACGGAGGUUCGAAUCCUCUCAGAGGCG